CCGAACCCGAAAGAGCCAACCAAGAGAUGUAAAAAUCAGGAUAACCACCAGGUAUUACUCGGUCUUCAUGAGCCAACCAAGGGAUGUAAAACGCAGCAUAACCACCAGAAAUAUCUAACUACCAAGUCCAGAAGAGCUGAGCAAGGGAUUUGAAACUCAGGAUAACCACCAGAAACAUCAAGCUAAUCCAGCCAACGGGAAUGGAAACAUUGCUUCCACCGCUUUGUCCUCCAAGCCACACUUCUGGGUGCAACUAAUAUGUACAUCAGAAUGCAGUAAUUGAGAUCAAACAGUGCGUCUUGACAUGAAGAUCACUUUGUAGCUGAAGCCCCUGCUGACUUAUCAUCAUUGGGCAGGCCCUGCGAUAAAUAAGCAGAUCAGGAAAGGUUGUCCAAGAGGGCAAUAGGUGGAGUUACUACUUCCCACCAUUUAUCUUCAAGAACAAUACAUGUAAAAGUAUAAACACCAAGAGAACCCCACAUACCAGGUCAUUGUCAAGCAAAUUGAUAUUCAAGAACUUUGGCAGGACAGAUUUCACAUCAGAAGUUGUUGCCGACUUCUCAUUCUGCAGAUCUUGAUUGGGGUUGCUGCUACUCUCAGACACUUCAGCAUGGUGGUAAUCGUCACCAGGUAGGCCCUGCGAUGAAUAAGACAAUCAAUGAACAGAAGAAGUGAGCAAUGCACAAGAGCCUUGUCCAAAAGGGCACAAUCAGUGGAAGUUUUGCAUUAGAGCAUAUAUUUGCAAAUGGUUAGGUUACCAAAAUUUCGAGAGAGGGAGCAGAGAGCGGGAGGGAGGAAGAGUUCAAAAUACCUGGCCAUCAUGCAGGUCAUUGAUAUCUUCAGCAUCAUCAUGAAGCAUAUCUUGUGAGCUCAGCUCGUCAAGCAUAUCAACAGUCAGAUUUAUGUCAAAAUC
rnacentral:lncRNA from 1 species